rnacentral:lncRNA from 1 species
GGUAAUGAAACUCUCAAUAGAUAGCACUCCAUAACAAGUUUAUAUAUUCUCCUCCCCCUUUAUUGACUGAUUGAUUUGUGUAGUCCCUGGACACUGUUCCGACCACCCAAACCUGACUUGACCGUCGGAGUGUAUACGGCCGCCACCCCCGUCGGUUCCGGCCGUGUGCGCCUGACAGUUUGUUCAUUUCGUAGGGAGGAAUACGUGGAGUAGCUACAAGUUGGCCACGUGGAAGAGCCAUUUUUAGAGGUCAACAGUUUGGCGCCGUCUGUGGGAAACGUCAUUCCCCAUUCAAAGUCCUACAUUCCC